AAAAGAAAAAAAGGGAGAUACAAGAGUAAAGAAGAUAUUUUUGUCUGGCUGACAACCUGGGCCAAUCUAUAAUUCCUCAAACUCAAGAACUGUGACUCAAGCAUAACAGCAGUUAUUAUAGAGACGUUCAUCAUACUGUAUAGUGUACCUACAUUUGCAUGAUCCUACCAAAUAUAUUGAAUUAAAUAUUAUUAUUAAAUAAAAAUGAAAUUGUAUUAGUUUAUUUGAUUAUCAUAUAGAGAGAGAGAGAGAGUAGAAAACAUUUCAAACGUUUCAUAAAUAAUUUCACUAGUUUUAGUUUUACUGGAUGAUGCAUGUCACUUCUAAAAUACAAAAGGAAAUUUACUAAGAAAUACCCCAGAUGUUUGUUGCAUGUUUUUCCUUUCUCUUAUUGAAACUUUUUAUAAUAAUAAAAAUAAAAUGUUAUCACUUUCCAUAGUGUUCCAUCCAGUUCCUUGAUGACAUCAUCCUACAAGAAGUGACAUCAUUUUGGAGGGAAACGAACAACACAAACACCAAUAAGCCCCAAGGUCAACUGAGAAAGCCACAUAUCGAAAGAUAUUGACAUAUUUGAGCAGUUUCUUUGUGAACAGUUUACGGCUAAUAUUGGCGCCACGUCUGCCAUUCCGAGAGAGUGUGGAUAUGGAGGAGUGUGUGAAAAGGAGAGAUAGGGCGAGAGAGAGCCGAUCUCUGGGGUUCCGGACACUCCUGCUAUCUUUAGGCACAAUCUGGGCCGGUGCAGGAUUGGACAGAGCAGGCCAGAGAGUGAUAAAUGUUCACCAGCGGCCCAUGUGGCACUGCCAAGAGAUGAGUUUACAUCACAGUCUCAUUACAACUCAGAUACAAGGUUACUAGGACAACAAAACACCAUCCAAAACACAAUGAUGGCAUCUAAAUUUCACUGAACUGAGCGUGAUGGAAUCUAAUGGAAGUCAGACAUGGCGAGAGCCUUAACCCCAACUGACGUUGUGUAGGACAUGUCUCCUCCAAUAUUCAGAUCGGUGCUCAGCUGAUAAGGUUUUUUCAGCGAAUCAUUUUGAAAUUAUUACAUUUGAUUCCUCCAGUCAUGACAAAUGUGAUUACAUCCUUGAAAACAGCUAUUACAGGAAGGCAUUAGUGUUGUGACGUCAGGUCUGGUGUGUGUCAUUUCCUCAUGUGUUUUCUGAGAAGUUGUUAAAAUAAAGCCUGUGGGACUUAAUGUGAGCUGUGAAGUUUUAAUGAUGAAACUGCUAAAGGGAUCUAUAUAUCUAUUUAUAUUUUGGUGUGGAAUCCAUAGAAGAAGAAGAAAAAGCAUAUACAGCUGUCAAUAUAGAGUCACACUUUCAGCUUUCAUUUUCAGCUGCAUUUAAGGUAUUAAAGAUAUUAUUACCUAAAAAGCAUACAUAUUACUGUAGUACCUAUUAGUACCUUUUGAAAUGUUAUUGCCCCAGAGACAGCUUUUGUAACUUUUAUUUUUAUUUUUUUUAUUUUUUUCUGAAAGGGUAGAGUUUGUUUGUUUAUUCAAUCAUUUUGAGAACUAUUUCUUUUGCAGCUAUUCUGCAGUGACCGUGAGUUAAUCUAAAGGAGGUUAAUAGAACAAUAUAUUACUGGAACACAUCAGCAAAAAUGUUAUGUCAUGAG
ensembl:lncRNA